ensembl:lncRNA ZNF213-AS1 ZNF213 antisense RNA 1 (head to head)
GCGUCAUACACCUGCACCCGGGAGGAAAGGCGAGGCUCUGCAUCUAGAUUUACCUCGUUCUCUUUUGUCUCCGCUUUUUUUUCACAUUUCCUUGCGACCCUGGCCCUUGAGCGACAAAAAGGGGAAGCCAAGGCUGGCCCGAGGAACGGAGAGGGCACAUGGCCUAGCCACAAGUGGAGCUUCUGCUCCGCCCGAAGGGAUGCGCUGGAGCGGCCUCUUCCUUCUGCCACGGUCUUUCUUUGCCAACUAGUAGGUGGAGACUGGACCUCAGAAGAGGGAGUGGGUGCCCCGAGAACUCACAGCUAGCGGACAGUGGAAAGGGCAGGAGCCGGACCAAGGUGAGGACAGUGGAACUGAAGGCCGCUGGUUACCUCUCCUGCCCUCCGCUGGCCACAGUGGAGAAGACAGCCCCUCCCUCCUGCUCUGACCUGACAGUGUUCAUCCAUCGCCCUGUAUUAGCGAAGAACAACAUCAAGCUGGCUAGCAAGGAACUGUAUACAGGGUCCAGCUGGGUAUCACACUGGAUCUCACCCAAAGCUUAGAUGUGAUCCAGCUCAGUAUCACAAAGCAGAACGAAAAGGAUGUGUUUGGGCUGAGAGGCCAUACAUUGGCUCCGGCAUGACGGGUGACUUCUUCCGAGUCUGGCUUCUGCAGCACACAGGGCUUCGCCAGCACCCAGCUCCUGCAGCAUGGGCAGCUCCUGUGACAGCAGGCGCCCGCAGCCUGCAAAGCGUCUCCAGUGCCGCCGCCUCAGUGAACCUCAACCAGCGGCACCUAGCAGCUUUCUCUGCCACCCUCUUCAGGUAGUUCUGUAGCAGCGCGUUUCUCAUGAGACACUUCCCUGUGAGCAGCUUUUUCUACCCUUGAGGAUGGAUUUCCAGCAAAUUCUGCCCAUGUGGUACCACAGCCACUUCUCUGCCAUUCAGUGAAACUGCCGUUGUGCCCUCUUCAAGGUCUGGAUCUAAGCCCAGGGACCAGGAAACCUCUUGCUUGAGUGCUGGAACUCAGGCCAGAAGGCAGGAAGCCCGCCUGACCCCAUGUCUCAGGCUGCCAGAGGAGCGUGCGAUGAGGAAGGCUGGACUGUCUUCACAGGACACCAGGGAGAAGCCUCAAGCCACUGCCCCCUGACAAGUCGCAGCUCUCCAGCCUGUCUCCUCACUCCCCUCCCCUCCACAUGGGGGGGUUGGGGUGGGGGCGGGGAAGGUUCGGGGCAGGGGUCAUUUCAGCUACUGGGCACCAGUCUCCUCCUCAUGUUUAUCCUGUUCCCUUUGCUUGAAAGGUUCGUACUCCAGAUCCUUGUAAAACCGCUUCUCACCCUUUGAGUCUCAGCUUAAAUGUCCCCUCCUUGGAGGGGUCUUCCCUGACAAUGAAGCUCCGACCGUCCUCUCCUGUUUUACCCAGUUCAUUUCUUUCUGGCAUUUGUAACUACUUGAAGUUAAAGUGUGUGCCAUGUA